UGGUGCAUGGUUGUCGUCAGCUCGUGUCGUGAGAUGUUGGGUUAAGUCCCGCAACGAGCGCAACCCCUACGUUUAGUUGCUAACGCGUGAAGGCGAGCACUCUAGACGAACUGCCGUUGACAAAACGGAGGAAGGUGGGGAUGACGUCAAAUCAUCAUGCCCCUUAUGUUCUGGGCUACACACGUGCUACAAUGGCCGGUACAGACGGACGCAAAGCCGCGAGGUGGAGCAAAUCCUAAAAAGCCGGUCUCAGUUCGGAUUGCAGGCUGCAAUUCGCCUGCAUGAAGUCGGAAUCGCUAGUAAUCGCAGGUCAGCAUACUGCGGUGAAUACGUUCCCGGGCCUU
rnacentral:rRNA from 1 species